UGUCACACAAACGUAUCGACCGUUUCAUGUGUGUCGUGCAACGUGUCAGUUGCGAUGAAUUAAAUUAGGUUAUCAAUUAUUCACCGUGGUUAAUUGUCAUCGACAAUUAACAAAAUUCGUGGAUGAAUUUCAUUCUUGUUUAUGUCAGUGUUUUGCAUACGUGGCAACAUUUACCACCAAUCAGAAAACACAAGUUUUGAUAGGCGUGGCUUCGAACACGUAUACUUGUCUGUACGUCCGGCCGCCAUAAUUCUUGAGAAGAAAUCGUUGUGCGUGAAUUCUCAUCGCGAUUCUCUGUAGACAAACACAGCACGUUGUUCAUUUUACAUUCCUUGGCAGAAACAACUUACUGGAAAUAUUCUUACUGGGCUACGUAGACAUUGUCAAAAUGGAUGUCCAGACAGGAUUGGUAUAUGUAGCAGUUGUAGUCAUUUCGGCAGCAGUUAUCGUUUUAGUAUCAAUGUUUGGCAUAAAAGAAAAGUCCUAUGAAGAAGCUAUAGCUGAACAAAGAAAACUACCUGAUGAUCUUUUAUUGGGUAAGAAAGAUAAAGGUAAAGAAAAGAAACAUAAGAAUAAGGCAGGAAAAAAAGUGAAAGAGAAGAAAGAAGAGAAAGAGGAGAAAGAUGAUAAGGAAGAGAAACCAGAACAUGUACAAUUUGAGGAAAAUCCUCAAAUAUUGCCCCUAGAGCCACUACUGCGGGAGGGUAGCAAAGGAAGUAAGAAGAAAGGCAAGUCUGAAAAGGUAAAGCCAAUUCUUGUAAAUAAAGAUGAGCCGUUGGUUAUUGUGACUGAAUUAAGUCCUUCACAACCCCCCUUGGCAGAGGCUAAUCAUUUUGACCUCAUUCAUCCAAAGGACGACCUCGAACUCAUACGGAGUCACAGUAAGGAAAAUUUGCAACAACUCAAUCAGUCUGAACCAGUUGUAAAUAAAUCACCCAAGGAAACUCCAACAAAAACAAAGAAAAAUGUAAAAGAUUCAUCGAAAAAGAAAGAUGAAAAUGUUAAGGAGGAGAAGAAAGAAGAGAAGAAAGAAGCAACUGUAAAUGCUAAUGCCCAACCACUUGUUAACAAAGAUGUUCCAAAGGAAACAAAAGAACACAAAGAAACACCUGUUAAGGAUACAAAGGAAGUAGUUAAAGAAUCUGCGCCACUCAUUCAAGCUCUAAUUAAAGAAUCUAAGAAGACAAAGAAGAAGAAUGAUAUUCUAGCUCAAAUUGGAGGAGACAAAGAUGCUGUUAACGUAUCUCUUUUGAUGCCUUUAGUUCAGAAAGCUGAACUUAGUCGUUCUGAAAUCCAAAUUCUGAUUGAUCAACUUCUGAAUAAACAGCUGGAUAAUCCAUCAGAACAUUCAGAGUGGACAGAAGGUCGUGCAGACCCUGUUAUUAAAUUGAAGAAGCAAUUGGCGGAAAAGGAGAAGGCUCUUGCUGACGAACAUGAAGCCAAUAUUGCUUUCCAAAAUAAACUAAAGGAAUUGCGAACUGAACUCAAUUCAGAGAGAUCUAGAUUAUCAGCUAAUGUGAGACAGUUAGAGGAAACACUAAAUGCCAAGGUUACGGAAGCUCAGACCUUACAUACACGUAUGCAACACAUCUUAGAAAGUCAUGCUGCUGAAAAGCAAGGGUUCACUAGACAGAUUGAACAGUUGCAAACUAAAGUGAACGAGAAUGCUACGAUCAUUCAUAAGAUGCAAGAGGAACAGGGACAGACUCAAGGUCAUUUGCAGCAGGAGCUGAUAACGCAGAGGAAGCAAAUGGAGGUUCAGUUUGGAAAGAUGCGUGAAAAUGAGAAUGCGUUGAAAGCACAGAUAGCUCAAAAGCACGUAGAAGUACAAAAGAUGCAAAGUGAAUUACAAGUGACAUGUGAUAGUAGCACAGCUGAGAUAGAAAUGUUACGGCAACAGUUAGGGCUUAUGCAGGGUCAGUUGAUGCAUUCAGAAGGACAAUUACAACAUUUCAAGGAAGCUGGCGAUAGAUUACAAGAUGUUGCUAGACAACUUGAGGAGGCUCAUUGCGCUCAAACGGAAUUGGAUCACAGACUAAAAAAUGCUCAUCGCCAUGAACAAGAGCUUCAAAAACAGGUGAAUUCGUUGCAAUCAGAAUUAAAUGCCGCAAAAACAGAGGCUAGCGAUGUUUCUACGUUGAAAGCAGAAUUAACUAAAGCUCAGACUGAACUGGGCAAACUAAAAUCUGAAUUGUCAGCCUCUAUGAAUGAAGCAAAAUCUGAAGCAGCUGAAAUUACAGCUCUUAAAAUAGCACUAGCGAAUAAGGAAGAGGAGGUCAAGAAAUCUCAAGACGAGCUGAACAAUUUACGGGUCGUGACAAGACAAACCACGGAACAUGUAGCACAGCUGGAAGCGCAAUUAGAUGCCGAGCAAAAGAAAUUGAACAUUGUGAAAGCUGAAUCUGAAAAGACAGCUGAAAGUCUGUCUCUUUGCCAGAUUGAAAUACAGAAAUUGAAGGAAGAGUUGAAACAAGCACAAGCUGAAUUAGAAAAUGCUCAGGUUGAGCUUACACCUGCAAAUGAAAUGGCAAAUGAAAUGAAAAUGUUGAAGGCUGAAUUGGAGAGGUUGCAGAGCAAUGAGAAUAAAUUUGCCGUAACAGAGUUACAAUUUGGAAACGUACUAUUGCAAGAAGAAAACAACAAACUUUCUACGCAGUUGGCGAAUCUUACUGAUUUGCGAAAACAACUGAAACAAUUGCAAGAAGAAAAUGAAUCAUUGUCGUCCAAAUUAGCAACGAUCAGUGAGCGACCAGCUACAGAAGACAAAGAAAAUGGAAUCGAUGAUAAUGUUCAGAAGAACAUACAGCUUGCAGAUCAUGUUAAUCUGUUGGCGCAAAAGGAAAGUCAACUGAAUGCCUUAAAGACAGAAUUAACGAACAAGGAAGCGGAACUGAAACAAUCGAAUGCUCAAAUCGACGUAUUGCAAAGUGACGUGAAUCAUCAACGUAAUCGUGUGACUCUUCUGAGUGAUAAUUUACAAGAUCAAAGAACUAAAAAUAAUGAGUUGCGUAAGAAAAACUGGAAAGUGAUGAAUGCUCUUUCUGCUGCUGAGUCGCGUGUUAAAUCUAGUGAUGUGCAAAACUUUGAUGAGGUUGCACAGAAAGUGAGACUUGAACAAGAAGAAUUAACAAAGGCUUUCUUGAUGAGGAUAUUCCCAGAAGUAAAAGUACCCGAAAAAUCACACGACCAAUGGCUCAGUGAUUUCGAAGAAAAAGCGAACACCUUCUUGGUUGAAUUAAAGAAGAAAAAUGUGGAUGAUAGUACUCGUUCAGAUACAGAGAAACAAAACAAAAACUUGCAGGAUAUGGUCUCACAUUACAAACAAAUUAUCAUGGCUACUGAGGGUAUGCUAAAUAAGCUCCAAUGUCACGUAGAAUCGGAGGAAACAAGGUGGGAAGCUCAACUUCGGCAAAAAGAGGUUGAGGUUGCAAAUCUUAGGAUCGAGUUACAAAAGAAGGUAGCAGAAAUGGAAACCAGGUUAAAGGAUGCUGAAUCUCAUAAAGAACAGGCCAAUCGUGAAUUGUUGGCUCUUAGAUCUACACCACAAACAAUUCCCAGUGGAGGAAAUACUCGUGAUUUAAUAGCGUUAGAAAAACUGCAGGAGGAGAAUGAACGUUUGACAGGAGAACUUCAAUCUGAAUAUCAUAAAAGGUCAACACUAGAUGCAGAAGUCACUAAAUUGCGUUCUUUGGUUGCACAGCUUCAAGAAGAAGUAACACAAUUGAAGACUGCAGGUAGUGGAGAUUGCAUCAGUUCUGAACAGUAAAGGUUGAAUGGACCACCGACAUCCGAGUGUUCUAAUUCCGAGGUGUUUUAUACAUCGCUUCGUGUUUGGAAAAGUAACAAUUCAAAAUACAACAGGUCUAUUUAUUUAUUCCACUGCUAGCAGCACAGACUCUGAUAGCUGCAUUAGAAAAUACUCUUCUCAAGAAUACAGAGUUCGCAAAUAGUUCAAUAGCCAAGUCUGUCAAUUUGGUUCAUUCUCAACGAGAAAAUUGAUAGCAGCUCCCUUUCUACAAAAUACUCCUCCAAAUCUUGUCACAUGACAGAUAACCACACUCAGGCUAGCUGGAUUCCAUUGAUGAGCCAGCAGCAUAAAAAGCACAAGAAAAAGAGGAAGGGUGGUCCAGGGAAAAGUAACUUUAAAGAGCAUGAAAGCAGGAGAUUCAGAAAGGAAAUACAAGCGUAAUUGCAUAUGCUCCCAUGUUAUAUAAAACGUGAGUGGGAAUCUUUGCUACUGAGAAGACUAAUAUAAUGAUAUGAAUAACGUUUCUUAUAAAAAGAAUAACAUAUUUUAUUAUAUGGAAAAAUAUAAAUAAUGAAAUCUUGUAGUUAAAGAAGUGAGAAAUGUUGAUUCUGACGUUUAUCAUGGUUACAGAAACUGAAUAAACUCGGAUAGGCAUACCUUAAUAAGAAUGAUAAAAGAAUGAUGCAUUGUAAAUUGCGGUGAAGCAAUUUUUAUCGUUUAAAUAUUACUUUUUGUUUUAUAAAAUAUGUUCAGAUGUUUAUAACUAUUCUUAGCGUCUUUAUAGUGUUUUAUUUAAGAAGCAUUAAUAUAUCGGAUCAUUAAGAAGAGAAAGAAUAUGUACAUUAAAAGAAACGCACGAUACUCAAUCAAAUGGAAGAACUUACACUUUUGUGUAGUUGUAUUUUCCGUAGCUAGCAAACACCAGAUUUUUAAGUGAUUUUCAUUCUACUAAAGCGUUUGCAUACAAAGCUAAAAUUGUUGAUGAAUUUAUGUGCAAUAAACAAGCACGAUCGUGUGUUCACCUAUAUUCAAAGAAAAAUUGUAGUGUAUUUGGUAGACGGCUUUUAAAAGGGAA